rnacentral:rRNA from 1 species
GAUGAACGCUGACAGAAUGCUUAACACAUGCAAGUCAACUUGAAUUUGGGUUUUUAACUUAGGUUUGGGUGGCGGACGGGUGAGUAACGCGUAAAGAACUUGCCUCACAGCUAGGGACAACAUUUGGAAACGAAUGCUAAUACCUAAUAUUAUGAUAAUAGGGCAUCCUAUAAUUAUGAAAGCUAUAAGCACUGUGAGAGAGCUUUGCGUCCCAUUAGCUAGUUGGAGAGGUAACGGCUCACCAAGGCGAUGAUGGGUAGCCGGCCUGAGAGGGUGAUCGGCCACAAGGGGACUGAGACACGGCCCUUACUCCUACGGGAGGCAACAGUGGGGAAUAUUGGACAAUGGACCGAGAGUCUGAUCCAGCAAUUCUGUGUGCACGAUGAAGUUUUUCGGAAUGUAAAGUGCUUUCAGUUGGGAAGAAACAAAUGACGGUACCAACAGAAGAAGUGACGGCUAAAUACGUG